rnacentral:rRNA from 1 species
UACGUAGGGGGCAAGCGUUGUCCGGAAUUAUUGGGCGUAAAGCGCUCGCAGGCGGUCUUUUAAGUCUGAUGUGAAAUCUCGUGGCUCAACCACGAACGGUCAUUGGAAACUGGGGGACUUGAGUACAGAAGAGGAGAGUGGAAUUCCACGUGUAGCGGUGAAAUGCGUAGAGAUGUGGAGGAACACCAGUGGCGAAGGCGACUCUCUGGUCUGUAACUGACGCUGAGGAGCGAAAGCGUGGGGAGCGAACAGG